GUGCUCCCCCGCCAAUUCCUUUAAGUUUCAGCCUUGCGGCCGUACUUCCCAGGUGGCUCGCUUCACGGCUUCCCUGCGGCACCAGACACGGUCGCGCCAUGCCUGACACCUAGCGAGCAUCGUUUACGGCUGGGACUACCCGGGUAUCUAAUCCGGUUCGUGCCCCCAGCUUUCGUCCCUCACCGUCGAACCCGUUCUGGUAAGACGCCUUCGCCACAGGUGGUCCCACAGGGAUUACAAGAUUUCACUCCUACCCCUGUAGUACCUCUUACCUCUCCCGGUUCCAAGCCUGGCAGUAUCCCCCGAAAGCCUAACGGUUAAGCCGUCAGAUUUCCCGGAGGACUGACCAAACCGGCUACGGACCCUUUAGACCCAAUAAUCACGAUCACCACUCGGGCCGCCGGUGUUACCGCGGCGGCUGGCACCGGUCUUGCCCGGCCCUUGCUAACAGGUGUAUUUUACACACCUGGACAGCCAGCAUAUGAUGCUGGCACUCGGUGUCCCCUUAUCACGGUUUCCCGCAUUGUAAAGUUUUCGCGCCUGCUGCGCCCCGUAGGGCCUGGAUUCAUGUCUCAGAAUCCAUCUCCGGGCUCUUGCUCUCACAACCCGUACCCGUUGUAGGCUAGUAGGUACAUUACACCCACUACUACCUGAUAGGCCGCAGACCCAUCCUUGGGCAGACGAAUCCAUUUUACGCAUAAAGCAUUCCAGCAUAUGUGCGUUAUCCGGAAUUAUCCCCAGUUUCCCGGGGUUAAGCCGGACCCAAAGGCAGGUUAUCCACGUGUUACUGAGCCGU
rnacentral:rRNA from 1 species